GUGCUCGCUUCAGUAGCACAUAUACUAAAAUUGACAAGGAUACACAGAAAAUGAGCAUGGCCCCUGUCCAAGGAUGACAUGCAAAUUUGUGAAGCGUUCCAUAUUUAC